AUUGAACGCUGGCGGCAUGCCUUACACAUGCAAGUCGAACGGCAGCACGGACUUCGGUCUGGUGGCGAGUGGCGAACGGGUGAGUAACAUAUCGGAACAUACCCUAGAGUGGGGGAUAACGUAGCGAAAGUUACGCUAAUACCGCAUACGAUCUAAGGAUGAAAGUGGGGGAUCUUCGGACCUCAUGCUCAUGGAGUGGCCGAUAUCUGAUUAGCUAGUUGGUGAGGUAAAGGCUCACCAAGGCGACGAUCAGUAGCUGGUUUGAGAGAACGACCAGCCACACUGGAACUGAGACACGGUCCAGACUCCUACGGGAGGCAGCAGUGGGGGAAUUUUGGACAAUGGGGGCAACCCUGAUCCAGCAAUGCCGCGUGAGUGAAGAAGGCCUUCGGGUUGUAAAGGACUCUUUGUUCAGGGAAGAAACGGUAGGGGGCGGAAGUAACUU
rnacentral:rRNA from 1 species